rnacentral:rRNA from 1 species
UGGGGAAUAUUGGACAAUGGGCGAAAGCCUGAUCCAGCCAUGCCGCGUGUGUGAAGAAGGUCUUCGGAUUGUAAAGCACUUUAAGUUGGGAGGAAGGGCAGUAAGCGAAUACCUUGCUGUUUUGACGUUACCGACAGAAUAAGCACCGGCUAACUCUGUGCCAGCAGCCGCGGUAAUACAGAGGGUGCAAGCGUUAAUCGGAAUUACUGGGCGUAAAGCGCGCGUAGGUGGUUCGUUAAGUUGGAUGUGAAAGCCCCGGGCUCAACCUGGGGACUGCAACCAAAACUGGCGAGCUAGAGUAGGGCAGAGGGUGGUGGAAUUUCCUGUGUAGCGGUGAAAUGCGUAGAUAUAGGAAGGAACACCAGUUGCGAAGGCGACCCCCUGGGCUCAUACUGACACUGAGGUGAGAAAGCGUGGGGAGCAAACAGG